rnacentral:rRNA from 1 species
CGGGAAGCGAGCGUACACAGGUGCUGCAUGGCUGUCGUCAGCUCGUGCCGUGAGGUGUCGGGUUAAGUCCCAUAACGAGCGCAACCCCUAUCAUUAGUUGCCAUCAGGUCAAGCUGGGGACUCUAAUGAAACUGCCUACGCAAGUAGUGAGGAAGGUGGGGAUGACGUCAAAUCAGCACGGCCCUUACGUCCAGGGCUACACACGUGCUACAAUGGCCGGUACAGAGCGCAGCGAGGCCGCGAGGCGGAGCGAAUCGCUUAAAGCCGGUCCCAGUACGGAUUGGAGUCUGCAACCCGACUCCAUGAAGUUGGAAUCGCUAGUAAUCGCGCAUCAGCAUGGCGCGGUGAAUACGUUCCCGGGCCUU